AGUGGAAGAAGGAUAGAAGAGUGGAAGAAGGAAAGAAGAGUGAAGAAAGAAAAGAAGAGUAGAAGAAGGAAAGAAGAGUGGAAGAAGGAAAGAAGAAAGGAAAGGAGAGUGGAAGAAGGGAAGAAGGAAAGAAUAAUAUUCCUAGUUAUACAGUUGAAUGGAGAGGGACAGAGAGAAGAGGAGCCUUGGAACCUUGGCGCAGGUGUCAGUGAAGCACAGGUGCAAGCCAGUUUAAUGACCCUAUUAUGAUGUCAUAAUGGCCCAAUGUAAGUCAAUGGGAAAAUUUGUAUUAGUUUUUAUUUAAUAUCUUAAAAAGUAUAACGUUUAGAAAAGUGAAAAAUACAUAGCAUAAGUGUCGUUUAC
ensembl:lncRNA